AUUGAACGCUGGCGGCAGGCCUAACACAUGCACGUCGAACGAGUUGCGGACGGGUGAGUAAUGUCUGGGAAACGGCCUGAUGGAGGGGGAUAACUCCUGGAAACGGUAGCUAAUACCGCAUACCAUCGGAUGUGCCCAAAUGGGAUUAGCUAGUAGGUGGGGUAAAGGCUCACCUAGGCGACGAUCCCUAGCUGGUCUGAGAGGAUGACCAGCCACACUGGAACUGAGACACGGGCCAGACUCCUACGGGAGGCAGCAGUGGGGAAUAUUGCACAAUGGGCGCAAGCCGGAUGCAGCCAUGCCGCGUGUAUGAAGAAGGCCUUCGGGUUGUAAAGUACUUUCAGCGAGGAGGCGUUACUCGCAGAAGAAGCACCGGCUAACUCCGUGCCAGCAGCCGCGGUAAUAC
rnacentral:rRNA from 1 species